ACAAAGGUAGAUGGCUAUUCAUACAAGACAAAUGGAAACUGUUCUCAGUAUUAUCGAUGUGUAGAUGGUAAAACACAAGUCAGACAAUGUCAACCUGGAUAUUCCUAUGAUUCAAUUAAUGGCUACUGUUCUGUAAAUACGUCAUGCAAAAGCCCUAUACCUAUUCCUGAGAGCUGUCAGUUUAGAGAAAGAACUAAUGAUAGAUGUCAUUAUGAUUGGGUUACCCCAGCUGGCACGUUUUUCAAGUUGCCUUGUCCAGCCGGUACGACUUUUAACCAAGCCACAUGUAGAUGUGAGACAGAAUUAUUAACUUCUUGUUAUCCUGCCUGCAAGCCUAUUGUGGACAUUCAUUUCAACUCAGACGACGCUGGAGAGUAUGACAACUAUGGUACUUCAAUCAACAAUGGUGAAGCUUAUUUCAAUGGCAACGCAACCAUUAGGAUUCUAACAUUGGCCAAUGUUGACUUCCAAUCUAAAGUUAACAUAAAGGUCAAAUAUCGCCAAACGUCGGAUAGUUCUGAAGCACAAGCCGUGGUUACCAAUGGUGAUUGUAAUAAGCAACCGUCAAUAAGCAUAAUCAACCAACAUAACACUGUCAAAUUCAACCUUACGGAUACUACAUCAUCUGUCCACACACUUGAUGUUAAUUCGUAUGUCCCAUGGCGGGUAGUUGAAUACAGUUUGAAGGAUGGGCAAUUUACAGCGAAUGUUGACUCUGGCAGUAAGAGCAAAAGUCUCCCAGCUGAUGCUAGAAUAUUAAGAUCACAGUGUGCCUUCCUACUAGGUCAAGGUACUGGGUUCCAGAAUUUUAAAGGAUGGAUAGAUUAUAUCAUUGUAUCAACAUGUUAGAUAGCUUGUUGGUCUACAAACUGGAUGACUACUCUGAAUAUACCGACUGUUUUUCAUUUUAUAACCCGGCUUAGCUUCAUGGUUUGUCGUUUGUAUGUAAAUAAGUUAUAUUUGAUUCGGUUCUCUUUGACUUGUAUAAAAUAUGUAGUAUUAAGAUCCUAAAGUUUAAUCGAAUACAAUAAAAUCACAGUACCGGAUAUUGAACGCAAAAUAGACAUUUUCUCAAUAAAAAAACAAUCGUUGUCUUUCGAAUUUGUGCAAUUUUAGUCAAACCAACCAUAUUGUAAUUACAUAAUAAUCUAUCGUGCCUUUAUGAUAACCAAAUUAAUUAAAUUUACGGCUUUGUUUUCUAGAUAGAUUUCAUGCAUACUAUUUUAUGCAAACCAACAUUGUUUGAUACUCCAUAUAUUUUUAUUAACCUAAUAUAUAGAUGUUUGCUCUGU